rnacentral:rRNA from 1 species
UACUCGAGUGGCGAACGGGUGAGUAACACGUGGGUGAUCUGCCCUGCACUUCGGGAUAAGCUUGGGAAACUGGGUCUAAUACCGGAUAGGAGCCAUCUUUAGUGUGGUGGUUGGAAAGUUUUUUCGGUGUAGGAUGAGCUCGCGGCCUAUCAGCUUGUUGGUGGGGUAACGGCCUACCAAGGCGGCGACGGGUAGCCGGCCUGAGAGGGUGUACGGCCACAUUGGGACUGAGAUACGGCCCAG